rnacentral:lncRNA from 1 species
AGUGGAGCACAUCGCCUCCUCAUCUGCCAGCUCCUGAAAAGCUCUCAAGUGGAGUGCUGGCAGGGGACAGAGGCAAGCUGACAAAAUGUUUUCCUGCGCUUCCGAGCCCUGUGGAGUGAAGCAGCAGAGUUUUUUUCAGAACUGCAGAAAAAUGUUUAAUGUGAUAGGAGUAUCUCUGCAUAACGCUGCUGAUCGAUUGCACGGAGGGAUCGUGAGGUUUAGGUUCUUCUUAUCUGGCUUUAUUGCUCUCUGCAUUGCUCUGUGACGUGACGUGGCAGCUAUUUUAGGAUGGAUAUUUUGUUGAGACAGUGAAAUGAGCCGUAUUUCAUUAGUUAAUGGUGUGUUUUGUGUGUACUGUGUGUGUGUGUGCUUGGCUGGUAAAUAUUAGCUUUUUAGCUAAAGAGCAAAUAAGUAUGGUUGUAGAGAGCGUGCACUCGAGUGCCGUGGUUGUAUUUCAGGCUUCUUUCAGCUCUCCAGGUUCAACGUCCUGCGUUUGUCUGACAGCUGUGCUUUUUUUCAGCUCUACAGGUGGCUUUCGGCUCGCUGUACAGAGACGAUGUGUUAAUAAAACCCAGUCGAGUAGUUGCACUUUUAGCAGCAGCCUGCAUGCUGCAGCUUGAUGGCUUAAUCCAGCAAUGUGGUGAAACGAUGAAGGAAACCAUUAAUGCAAAAACUGUGUGUGGUUAUUAUAAUUCAGCGGGGACAUACGGGUUAGACUCUGUGAAGAAAAAGUAAGAAUUUACUUUCUCCCUGCUGCUUUGUACGCUGCUAAUUAGAAUUGUAAAGUUACAAACAGUAAAAUAAUGUUAACUUCUGUUUUUUUAAAGCUGUCUGAAUUGAGCUGUGCUCAUCCCAUUUAGUUUUCCAGUUUCUACUACAAUCAUCUACCUUAAAAUUACUGUAGAUUGUAGUAGAUCGAUUGCCCUGUGCUGUAAAUGAGUUGAUUACUGAAGCAUAUUAGUAAAUACAAUCUAUUUUAUCUUCAGGGUAGCAAUAAAAUAGUAUUUGUGAUUAUCGACCGCUUUAGA